CCUACGGGAGGCAGCAGUAGGGAAUAUUGCUCAAUGGGGGAAACCCUGAAGCAGCAACGCCGCGUGGAGGAUGAAGGUUUUCGGAUUGUAAACCUCUUUUGUUAGAGAAGAUAAUGACGGUACCUAACGAAUAAGCACCGGCUAACUCCGUGCCAGCAGCCGCGGUAAUACGGAGGGUGCAAGCGUUACCCGGAAUCACGGGGCGUAAAGCGCGCGUAGGCGGGAUAGCAAGUCAGAUGUGAAAUCCUGUGGCUUAACCAUAGAACUGCAUUUGAAACUGUUAUUCUAGAGUAUGGGAGAGGUAGGUGGAAUUCUUGGUGUAGGGGUGAAAUCCGUAGAGAUCAAGAGGAAUACUCAUUGCGAAGGCGACCUGCUAGAACGUAACUGACGCUGAUGCGCGAAAGCGUGGGGAGCAAACAGGAUUAGAUACCCUUGUAGUC
rnacentral:rRNA from 1 species